rnacentral:rRNA from 1 species
CCUACGGGCGGCAGCAGUGAGGAAUAUUGGUCAAUGGGCGGAAGCCUGAACCAGCCAAGUCGCGUGAGGGAUUAAGGCCCUGCGGGUCGUAAACCUCUUUUGCCGGGGAGCAGAGGUCCGGACGUGUCCGGGCCGGGAGAGUACCCGGAGAAAAAGCAUCGGCUAACUCCGUGCCAGCAGCCGCGGUAAUACGGAGGAUGCGAGCGUUAUCCGGAUUUAUUGGGUUUAAAGGGUGCGUAGACGGGCAUUUAAGCCGGCGGUCAAAUGUCGGGGCUCAACCCCGGCCUGCCGUCGGAACUGGGUGCCUUGAGUGGGCGAGAAGUAUGCGGAAUGCGUGGUGUAGCGGAGAAAUGCAGAGAUAUCACGCAGAACCCCGAUUGCGAAGGCAGCAUACCGGCGCCCUACUGACGCUGAGGCACGAAAGUGCGGGUAUCGAACAGGAUUAGAUACCCCAGUAGUC